rnacentral:lncRNA from 1 species
AGUCUAAAAGUUAUAAUUUUAAUCUUAUUCAUCAUAAUUGUGUCAUUAUUUAAUGAAUUUUAUUUAUUGGUACAACAAAAAGAUUGAAACACAGACUAUUGGCACGCAAAACAGAAUGAAACUUUUGUAUUACAAACAGAUCAAUUAAAGGAUGGUAUUAUGACCCUAAAAGAAGCUAAACAUCUAAGCAUUAAUGUUGCCUUAUCUUAACGAGCAGAGAUUGAAAAUGAGUUAAAUGCGUUAAACAUUUAAUAUAAAAAAUACUGAUUGACCAAUAGUAAUAUGCAAAAUCUAAAUGAUCAAAUAUUUCUACAACUUUAUGAUUGUUGAUAAACAUAUUCAAAAAAAUAUAAAGCAAUAUGAUUCAUUAUAAAAAAUGAAUAAGAAUAAUCAAGAAAUAGCUACAAAAAAAUAUGGAGUUUAUUUAAUAAGACAGUGAUGGUGCUAUUUAUGGUGUGUGGAUUCUUUUGUGUAGUACUUAGUCAUUACAUAAUCAUCACAUUGUUAUCUGGCAAAAAGUCUCUUGCAUUAUUUAAAGUUAUCACAUGCCAAUAUUCCACUUUUACACGUAUUAAAAACUUUUAAUAGGGUGGGUGUUGUUUUCUAAGUGGCGAUUUUUUAAAUUUCCCCGUGUUGAGAUAUUUUUGAGUGCAAUCAAAACUUGAAAAGCAUUCUAAAGUGGGUUUUGUUGUUGACGUUGUUGUUGCUAACCAAUUAGUAAUUUAAUUUCAACAGUUUGUCAAUAAAAUUAUCAAUGAAAGUAUUUAUGAUUGGUAUUUGACAUUAAAAGAUACAUCUUAUCAUGCAAUAUAUUGUAGAUGUUACGUGGAUAUCAAUGUUAAACUGUUUUGCUGCAAGAAAGCUUUGGCCAAAAAGAUAAUUAGAUUAGUUGACACCAUCAGAAAAAUAAAGAAACAACAAAAAUAUUAUUAUUAAAGUUGUUAGGUGUAGCCUUUUUUCCACAUGUUUCAAAUUUCCUCAUAAUACAGUGAAUGCAUUUGAAAUUCCUAAAAAAACAAUACUAAUAAGCAAAAACAAAAUGCUUAAAAAAGUAAAUAAAAUUUCAAAGGAAAAUGGAAUCUAUGUUGGAUUUAAAAAUGGAAUUUUUUUACACAUCUAAUAGAUUUUAAAGAUAUGCGAUAUUGAAGGUAUGCAAUAUAAAAGAGCUAUUAAAGGCAAAAGUGCCCCUUUUUCAACUAAAUUUAUAUCGCAUAAUCUUAGGUGUCGAAUAUGGAAAAAACCUUUUUUGUAAAACAAAGGUAGCAGGAAGCAAAAGAAUAAUUAUCUUGGGAACCUGAUGAAGUCAGGUCAUUUCCUUUACGGUCAUUUCCUUUAUUAAUUGAUUUUGAAAAAGAUGAUCUUAUUCUUUUUAGCUAGAAUUGCGCAAUAAUUUUAUUUAAUAAAAAUUUAUAAUUAUGUUGUAUGUAUUUAUGUAUUUAUUAUGUAUUUAUUAUUAUUAAGUAUGUAUUUAUUUUAUUUAUUUUU